CGCUGAACCGCCUGAGGGAGGGGUGCGGAAGGUCAGACAGGGGACCAGAGGGAGCAUCAACCGAUACAGGACACUUGAAAGCGAUUCAACAAGAGAGGACUUGCUGGAGCCCAGAGAGAGACUGAGCUUGGCUUAAAAGGACAACUGUGAGGUGGCUGAGGUGAGAUGGAUCUCACAGACACACAGACAGACUGUCCUACAGCUGAGAGAGGAGUCGACUCUGGCUCGCUGCACGUCUAGGUGCCGCACGUCUACAGGAUGCUGAGUUCCUGUGAGCUGGACUGACUCGAGUCCUGAUGGUUCUGCAAUGUGAUGGAGAAGGCAACCUCCGACCGAGAGGAUGGAGGUGUAGGAAAGAUCUACUGCACAACAUCAUGCUACGCUGAUUGGGUCCAUACCAGGUACAUCUCAUCUGCUGUCCAGGUAGCUGAGAGAGGAACCUGGGGUCGACGACACGCUACACGAGGAUUGCAGUGUUUGAAGGUUAGACGCAGUGAAUUGAAGUCACUAAGGGAAAAGUGAAUUUUCUGGUGCUCGUAACCAGUCACUUUCUACAUGGCCUUUAGCUCUAGAACCUUUAGCUAAAACUGGUCAUCUUGGAAUUCACAAGGGAGAACACACAGAUUCUCCUGGCCUGGCUGAUAAAGCAGCUAGAAUGGAGACAACAAGAGCUGUGUCUGCAUUUGAGCUGUGAAGGACAACACCUUGGAAUAUACGUCUGACUUUUUCGUUCUGUUACAUCGGCCUGUCAAAGAAAUGGUUCAUAACUGACUGUCUGACGUUUGAAGGAGCAGAACAUUUGUGAUGACUUUGGAAGAACAUCCAAAUGGAACCAUGGAGAGGACAUUUCAGUGAAUUGAGCAAUUGGCAUGAGAGAACAUUGUAACAGUGAUAAAUUGAAGGAUGCAUUCAGUGAUAGGUGUUUAUGAUGAUUUUAACAUAAAAGUUUUGCUGUACUAUGUUAUGAUUCUGUAUGAUGACAAUGUGUGAUCUUGGUGUUUAUACGAAAGGUAAUGAUCUAGAAGAAUGUAAAUGAGGAUCCAGACAUUUCAGUUUGCUCAGUUCUCUAAUCACUAAGGAUAAUAAUAUUGACUGGGUCAUGUUGUUAAAGAGUACUGUUUUGUUGCAGUCUACAUCCUAAUGAGUGAACUGUUUAAGGUUUGAUACCAAGGUUUGACAUGGUAUCAAGAGGAUGGAUUGUUGUGGAAAUUUCUUAUACAAUGUAUUCUGAUUGUAUAAAGGAGUGAGUCCCACUGUUAAGAUAGGUACAGGAAUGUGUGGGACCUGGUAUUUGCAUAGGGGACAUCUAUUGUCUGUCCAGAUGGAGAUCAAUGGGUUUUAGGACAGGAUAGGAGAAGAUAUACAACAGGGGGAGUAAGGUCAGUUUGCCCCUUUGGGUAAACAUUAUUGCAGGAAGGAUAAGGUGGGGGAAGAUAGCAUUUGACGUGUGUGAUAGAACAAAGGGAAAGGUGUUUGAUUGACAUGAAACAGAUGGCAGCAUCUAACCACACCCCUUCUUCCUAUGUAAUAAAUACUGUCGAAAUGAUGUUUUUAUUUAGAAACUAUCCACCGUUACUUUGUAACCUGUAUACUUUCUCCUUGCAAGCAAGAUUAAAACCGUUUAUUGCGCAAUUGAUUUCUCCUGUCUUACCUACCAUUUUCAUAGAACU
ensembl:lncRNA